UAUUAAGUGGAAUGAUUUGAAAUGAUUGCAACCACGUAAAAAAAAUGCUAAACCAUUAUGC
rfam:Pedobacter sp. CCM 8644 NODE_4_length_378303_cov_125.869_ID_7, whole genome shotgun sequence.